rnacentral:rRNA from 1 species
AUGCGGACGCCAACGGCGACGAGGAAGAAGGCAUCGAGGGCGAAGAAGAUGAUGGUGUGGAUGAGGAUGGAGACGACGCUCGUGUGGAACUUGCCGCACUCGAUCGUCCACGAUUUGCCAGGGAUCUGGAUGACAAGCCCUGGGGACAGAAGGAUGAAGAGCAUGAAGGAGAUGAGCACCAGACCCCAGUCCUGCAUCUUCUUCCUCCUCUUCUUCUUUGGGAUGAUGAUGAUGAUGACUACUCAAGCCAGCUAUGGCCUUUUCUUUAUUUAUGGAUGGCUUUCCAUCCAUUUUGUGAAUUAUCACUUAUAUAUGUACUGCCAGGACAGCAGGGAAAAUGGUGUGGUCUGUAGAAAGUUCUGUUUCUGA